rnacentral:rRNA from 1 species
AGAGCACUGUUUCGGCUAGGGGGUCAUCCCGACUUACCAAACCGAUGCAAACUCCGAAUACCAAUGAGUACUAUCCGGGAGACAGACUGCGGGUGCUAACGUCCGUAGUCAAGAGGAAAACAAUCCAGACCGCCAGCUAAGGCCCCAAAAUUAUAGUUAAGUGGGAAACGAUGUGGAAAGGCCCAGACAGCCAGGAGGUUGGCUUAG